AACGCCUCUUCGACGCUCCGAUUGGUCGCCAAGCUUGUGACGUUGCGGCAACAAAUCUCUGCUUUUGGUAACCUCUAACUUGUCUCGUUUACGUUGCGACAUUGGACGGUAGCCUUUUUUAUUCUCGACAUUUUUCAGCGCGUAGAGGUUCCCGGAUUGUUGUUUUGGUUCUUGUGUUAAAUUUCAAACGCGUCAUCACGACGUGCAUCUCCAUUCGAGUGUGUGAGCGUGUGUGUGUGUGAGAUUUCCCUCUCCAAAGUCGAAAAUCUUUGGGGCGAGCCUGGAAACAGGAAGUGCCGUGCUGCGUUUCAAGUGCACCAUAAAGCGACCUCGGAGUGCGUCAAACGCUGGAGUGAAGCAGGAUGGGAGGACAACAAAGUCAGCCAGACCAACGAGAACAAGACACGCCCCCCUCUGGCAUGGCUCAAUCGCAAGGAGAGCUGCCGCAGUGCAUGAUGGGAAACAGGAAGGUGGACGACAUGCGCUUCCUGAUCUCAUGCACCAACUGGUAUUGACGACGAUACAGUGUGCAGGAGUCAGUCAUGGAAAGCGACACCAACGCGAACAGGUGCUGCAAGUGGCUCACUGUGGCGGUCAUGAUGAUGUCAC